CUAUUAUUACUCAAGAUGAGUAUAGCGUUUCCAAAGCUGCUCCGACAAUGAGGGCUAACGAAUCAAGAGGGAAAUUGAGAACUAAAACUGUAAAUUGUGACAAAAAGGAAAUUCAACCCCAAAAGUCUGAUAAAUGUAUGAAUGCAAAUGGAGCAGAUGACAAGGGUAAUGUAUCAGAGGAUAAUUCUAGUGCUGGCCAAAGUCAUGAUACUGGGGCUAGUAUUCUGAGGUCCUCUUUAAAGACUUCAGAUUCAAAGAAAUCGAUGCGCUAUGUUACCUGGGCUGAUGAGAAGACUGAUUUUGAUGGGCAAAAUCUUGAAGAGUGUCA
rnacentral:lncRNA from 1 species